rnacentral:rRNA from 1 species
UACGUAGGGGGCUAGCGUUGUUCGGAAUUACUGGGCGUAAAGGGCGCGUAGGCGGCACUGUUAGUCAGGCGUGAAAUUCCUGGGCUCAACCUGGGGACUGCGCUUGAUACGGCAGAGCUAGAGGAUGGAAGAGGCUCGCGGAAUUCCCAGUGUAGAGGUGAAAUUCGUAGAUAUUGGGAAGAACACCGGUGGCGAAGGCGGCGAGCUGGUCCAUUACUGACGCUGAGGCGCGACAGCGUGGGGAGCAAACAGG